rnacentral:rRNA from 1 species
UACGUAGGUGACCAGCGUUGUCCGGAUUUACUGGGCGUAAAGAGCGCGCAGGCGGUCGUUCAAGUCGCGUGUGGAAGCCCCCGGCUCAACUGGGGAGGGUCACGCGAUACUGAUCGACUCGAAGGCAGGAGAGGGUAGUGGAAUUCCCGGUGUAGUGGUGAAAUGCGUAGAUAUCGGGAGGAACACCAGUGGCGAAGGCGACUACCUGGCCUGUUUCUUGACGCUGAGGCGCGAAAGCUAGGGGAGCAAACGGG